rnacentral:rRNA from 1 species
UGACGGUAGUGGUUGAAUAAGCGCCGGCUAACUACGUGCCAGCAGCCGCGGUAAGACGUAUGGCGCGAGCGUUGUCCGGAUUUAUUGGGCGUAAAGGGCUCGUAGGCGGUUGAUUGCGUCCGCCGUGAAAGGCCUCGGCUUAACCGGGGUUUUGCGGUCGAUACGGGUCGACUUGAGGCAGUUAGGGGAGAUCGGAAUUCUACNUGUAGCGGUGAAAUGCGCAAAUAUGUGGAGGAACACCGGUGGCCAAGGCGGAUCUCUGGGAUUGUUCUGACGCUGAGGAGCGAAAGCGUGGGGAGCGAACAGGAUUAGAUACCCUGGUAGUCCAUGCUGUAAACGGUGGGCGCUAGGUGUGGGGUCACGUUGGUUGAUUCUGUGCCGUAGCUAACGCAUUAAGCGCCCCGCCUGGGGAGUACGGCCGCAAGGCUAAAACUCAAAGGAAUUGACGG